rnacentral:rRNA from 1 species
GAUGAACGCUGGCGGCGUGCCUAAUACAUGCAAGUCGAGCGAACAGACGAGGAGCUUGCUCCUCUGACGUUAGCGGCGGACGGGUGAGUAACACGUGGAUAACCUACCUAUAAGACUGGGAUAACUUCGGGAAACCGGAGCUAAUACCGGAUAAUAUAUUGAACCGCAUGGUUCAAUAGUGAAAGACGGUUUUGCUGUCACUUAUAGAUGGAUCCGCGCCGCAUUAGCUAGUUGGUAAGGCAACGGCUUACCAAGGCAACGAUGCGUAGCCGACCUGAGAGGGUAAUCGGCCACACAGGAACUGGGACACGGUCCAGACUCCUACGGGAGGCAGCAGUAGGGAAUCUUCCGCAAUGGGCGAAAGCCUGACGGAGCAACGCCGCGUGAGUGAUGAAGGUCUUCGGAUCGUAAAACUCUGUUAUUAGGGAAGAACAAAUGUGUAAGUAACUAUGCACGUCUUGACGGUACCUAAUCAGAAAGCCACGGCUAACUACGUG